GCAGGCUAAUCCACGCGCGGAGUCCAGGGUCCCUCUACAGCGGUUUCCCUGGGAACCACUCUGGCUGGAAAUCCUGUGGCUGCCUUUGGAGGAUGUGAACUCUCCUGGGAUGGACCAGAAGUGCUCUGCGCUCUGCUAUUAACCCCAUGAAAAGAGUUCUUUCCAGAUAAGCGGAUACUUGCGGCUGCGUGGAGUGGAUCCCAGUCCCAGUUUGCUACCAGCAAUCCCAACCCAAGACACAGAGCCAACAGUAAGACCACAGUGCCUGCAGAUAUCGGCCCACGCCUCUCCCUGCACACACACACUGGAUUAGUGACCCGCCGAGCAUCGGAAUUUCUUUUGAUGGUUUUAUGGAGUGGGUUGAUGAGGAGAACCUCGG
rnacentral:lncRNA from 1 species